rnacentral:rRNA from 1 species
GUCCACGCAGUAAACGAUGAGCGCUAGUUGUCGGGGUCUUAGACUCCGGUGGUGAAGCUAACGCGUUAAGCGCUCCGCCUGGGGAGUACGGCCGCAAGGCUAAAACUCAAAGGAAUUGACGGGGACCCGCACAAGCAGUGGAGCAUGUGGUUUAAUUCGAUGCUACGCGAAAAACCUUACCAACCCUUGAAUCUGGUUGACCGGUGCAGAAAUGCAUCUUUGGAGCAAUCCACAGCCAAGACAGGUGUUGCAUGGCUGUCGU